rnacentral:misc_RNA from 1 species
GAAGGAGGAGAUUGAUGAAGCUUUUCGUCGUGUGCCAGACCCACCUCCAAGCACACAAGCAACUGGUACAAAUCAAGAGGCGCAAGUGAUAUCAACAUCAAAUGUUCAGCCACCUGCCCAAACACAAGCUCUUCAGCCUGCAGCAGCUGCUCCUACUGGUGCCAUUUCCUCUGCGGGAACUUUAAUGCGAUUCCGAUUUCACUGGUAUCACAUUUUUUUUGCUGUAGGAUUACUGGCAGCUUCAGGUGCUGGAACAACUGUAUUAAUUAAGAAUGCUAUUAUCCCUAGAUUGAAGUCUUGGAUACGUAAGGUUAUAUUGGAAGAAGAAGAAGAAGAAAAAGAAGACCCUGUGAAGAAGGCUAAUGCAAAACCAAGUUUGGCGGAAGAGGCGGCAGCGGCUGCAAAGGCGGGAACAGGGAGCGCUUCCUCUCUUGGGACAACCAAGCCAACAAAUGUGGAAUNUUCAAAAAGCGAAGAGAGAAGACACUUCAAGGAAUUUAUGAAUCUUUUGGAUGUGCAAGUUCAGGAAAUGAAAUCCAUGAGCACCGCAAUACGAAAAUUGGAAGGACAAACUAAUAACCUUGGAAGAACCUCUCUUGUUGAUCAAGAAGAUUAUACACCUUCAGUGGCAAAUCAUCCUAAGCAAACCUAUGUGAAUGGGAAGGCCAAGUCAGAUUCACGCUCAGUGAGAUCUUUAUCUGCCCCCGCAU